rnacentral:rRNA from 1 species
AGGAAGAGCAAGCAACUGCGAUUGCUUCAGUAACGGCGAGUGAACUGGCAAUGGAUCUCGACCCGAAGUGAUUCCCAACCGCACUCAGUGCGUUCGGCUUUCGUGGGUUUCAGCAUAUGCUGUGGGCUAUGGAGCGAGUGGCAGCUGCCUUGGAUGGCUAUUGCACCAGGAAGUGACCUGGAAUGGUCCACGAGAGAAGGAUACUGUCCUGUACACACAUCGUGUGUGGUGGUCAUCUGAGGUGCUGCUGCUUGCAUCCAGGAGUAGAGUGGCUUGGGACUGCAGUUUGAAGUGCGUGGUGUAUCCAACGCAAGGACGAAUACCGGCUCGAGACCGAUAGCGCACAAGUAGAGUGAUUGAAGGAUGCAAAGGACUUUGCAAAGAGGGUUAAAAGUCCCUGAAGCCGCGAUGGGAACGGCGGUGCGUGGUGCUGUGGCUUUGCGAUCCAGGUGGUUGGCUCAGUUGUUGAGGGUGGAUUGCCACUGGACCCAGAUCUUGGGGAUCCAGACCACUCCGCGAUGACUUGGGUGGAUCAUGCUGAUCGCUGCUGUGAGCUUGGGACGACAUCAGCCAAAACUCAGGGCCUGACUUCAACACAGCCUUGGGGAUGUUCGGACCUGGCCACAGGAUGCAUUGAUUCCAAGCGACCUUGGGCCAGCCCUCAGCUGGCUACUGAGCCUAGCUCUCCAGAGUUGGAUGCAAUCGUGGCAGCUAUGAGGUGGCAAUCAGCUUGACUGGGCCUGAGGCUUGAGUUAUCCCAAAGGGUGUGCAGAGAUGUGGUGGCCAACCCACAAGGGCAUGGUGGUCCUCAAUCGAGGCUUGUCCGAGUGGAUCCACAGCAGCUUGUCUCCAGAUGAAUUGACACAGCUUGUUCCUGGUGUGUCUUCGGACAUGCCAGUGCCUACGCCUGGCCAUGGCGGAGCUGACGGUUUGGUUGUGGCUGCACCACUCUGAUGGUGGCCCAGCUGGACUGGCGGUUCUCCAGACAGCGUGUAGUGCUGAAGGCAGUGAAGCUUGGUGCAGCAGUGCCAUGCUCUGCCCGUCUUGAAACACGGACCAAGGAGUCUACGGAGCUUGCAGGUUAGCAGGUCAAAAACCGCAGUGCAUGGUGAAGGCAACAAACCCAGAUGGUGCUUGGAAUAUGGGCAGAACCAAAGGGCUGAAGCAAGGGCUGCGCGUCUCGGAGGCAACGUGAAGUCUUGGAUCCAGUGGCAUGUGGGAAACGCCCUAACAGGCUAGAAUCUGUGCCACCCGAGGCAAAGCGCCAACUCCGGAUGUGUAAGUGUGCCGAAGCCUUGCCCAAGGCAAGAAGUGCAGCAUGGGACACCGAUCCCGAAGUCCAGUGGACAGGGUUUUGAGUGAAUGCAAGGUCCGUGGGACCCGAAAGGUGGUGAACUAUACCGUUCUAUGACGAAGCCGUGGGAAACUGCGGUGGAGGUCAGUCGCUGUUCUGACGUGCAAAUUGUGUAGCCUGAGUGUGGCAUAGGGGUGAAAGGCCAAUCGAGCCACCUAGUAGC